UUUUUUUUAUUGCAUAUUUUAUUUAAACGUCGUACGUGGCGGCCGCGAUCGGUUCGUGACCGAUUUCUCAAAGCCGUCCCGAGGAAUUUUGUUUUCUCCGAAUUUCCCCCCCCCCCUCCCACCAACCCAUCGAAACCGCCCCGUACUUAUGCCACGUGUGGUUUUUUUUUUAUCGUUGGCAAAAUCUUAGGAAACUGUUUUUUUCCUGAUUUUCCACUGUCCAGCAUUACAGUUUGUUGUGGGGGGGAGGUCGAGGAGGGGUCAGGUGCUGCACGUAAGUCUCUGUAGUUGAAAUAGGUAUGUUCGUGUUUUACGUGGCCAUGGCGCCAUGCGUUUGUCAUGUUUUUUCUCCCUACCCCCUCCCCCUCCACUCAUCUAACACCGUUUGUUCACCUGGUGGCCGUCAACGGCCAACGGCAAAUGGCAAUGAUGGCGGGGUGGUUUCCACCGGAACAACCAACGCUCAUCACGUGCUUACGUCUUUUGACACUAACUGUCGAAGUGUGACAAAUAAUUCGCACACCUCGGAUUCUACGCGGUCGAGUUGUCUAAUGGUUCAUAUUUUUUUUCAGGUGUGACUCGAUAAAAAAAAUUAUCGAGAAUAUCUACCUAUUUUUUUUUUUUAUAGAUCAUAUACCUACUGAUAAAACAUGAUAAACCAUACGGCCAUACCGCCCAUUGACUGCCCACCUUCCGAUCAAAAACUUGUUGCAGAUAAAAAUUUGAUUUGUUCCAAUGGAAAAUGUACUAUACCUAGUGUGUUAUAUCCAUACAUUGAAUAUUAUGCCCUUGAUGCAAUAGCAAUACCUUUUAUCUUACCAUAAAUUUCAUUUUUAAAUAAGUAGGUAAGUAUUGUUGAUUAGCAUGCUCAAAUCAUACAAAUUAGAUAAGGUACCAAUAUACCAACUCUUAUAUUAUUUUUUAAAGCAUAAUAAAAAAAAUCAUUUUAUGUAUUCUAUUAUAAUAAACUUAAUACUUCUUAUAUACAAUAUGAUGGGUACUAUAUAAUAUGUAUCAUUUGGUUUAUUAAUCAAUAUACUUGGGUACUUACUAUAUUUAAUUACUUAAUAAAUAACAAUCAAUAGGUAUUUACAUAUUGAUAACUAAUAAAUAAUUAAAACAAGUUUUAUUUAAUAUAUAAAGAAGAACACUAAUAAUAAAAAUAAAUAAUCUGUGACAGUCUAAAUGAUUUUUAUUACUACUAUUAUAAUUCCUAUACCUACCUAGGUAUAUAUUUUGAUAUAGGUAGGUACAGUUAAAUUGUAAUUAUGAAAUACAAUAUUUAAUAAUGAGCAAUUCAUUAAAAUAUUGAAUUUUAGGUACUUAACAUAAUAUAAACUAUUUGAGUAGGUACCUACUUUAUUAAUAUUAAUGAUGAUUUUAACGAGACAAGCAUAUGUCUGAAUAAAUUUGAUGUUAACUCAAAUCUGAUAUGUUAAUAAUUAAUUAGAUACCUAUGACUGAAACAUUUCAAAAUUAUGUAUUUCAUAAUAUAAUAUUUAUAGGCAGGUCUACUAUAUGUAUUUAAUUAUUUAGAAAGUUCAAUUUAACUAAUACUCUAAGCACUUGAACUUCAGACUUAAUUAAGUAGAUUACUUUUAAUGAUGAUUACAAAGAGACAAGCAUAUGUCUGAAACAUAAUGCUGCAAAUAUGAAUCUGAUUUUAAACUUUUACGUAGAUAUAGGUAAUAAAUUAUAUAAUGAUUGAAUUUAAAGAGACAAGCAUAUACCUGAAACAUAGUGCGGAAAACAUGUAAUCUCAUAUUUGAACAUUUAGGUACUUAGAUAGGUAUUUAUAAAAAUUUAUAUGAUGAUUAAAAUCAAAGAGACAAGCAUAUACCUGAAACAUAAUGCUGAAAACAUUAAUCUGAUAUUUGAACAUUUAGGUACUUAGAUAGGUAUUUAUAAUAAUUUAUAUGAUGAUUGAAAUCAAAGAGACAAGCAUAUACCUGAAACAUAAUGCUGAAAACAUUAAUCUGAUAUUUGAACAUUUAGGUACUUAGAUAGGUAUUUAUAAAAAUGUAUAUGAUGAUUGAAAUCAAAGAGACAAGCAUAUACCUGAAACAUAGUGCUGAAAACAUUAAUCUGAUAUUUGAAAAUU